UACGUAGGGGGCGAGCGUUGUCCGGAUUUAUUGGGCGUAAAGAGCUCGUAGGCGGUUGAGUAAGUCGGGUGUGAAAACUCUGGGCUUAACCCAGAGCCGCCACUCGAUACUGCUCUGACUUGAGUUCGGUAGGGGAGCAGGGAAUUCCUAGUGUAGCGGUGAAAUGCGCAGAUAUUAGGAGGAACACCGGUGGCGAAGGCGCUGCUCUGGGCCGAAACUGACGCUGAGGAGCGAAAGCGUGGGUAGCAAACAGG
rnacentral:rRNA from 1 species